GUUCCUUCCGGUUCUAAUAUUCUGUGAUACAACAGCACUGAGAAUCCUCUGCAGCUCUAUGGUUACAGGAGUGAGGGUACAAGUGAGAUCGUGACAGUGGAGCUAUUUGCAGGUUACAGGCCAGCAACACUAGAUUCCUACAGCUAGAAGGUGGAUGGCAAAGAAGACAGAAUAAAGAAGAUAAUCAGGACAGCCAUGAUAAAGGAGCAUGAAAUACGAGACUGGGACAGCAGCCAGAUCCACGUCUUUAACCUCCUACAGCAUCUGCCCACCUUGGCUCAUAUCUGCAGAUGUAAACGCACGAGGGAAGAGAUGAUCAGGGAGCAAAUGGACUGCAUGCAUACCCUUGUGGCGAAUAUCCAGGCACUGUUAUGGAGUGUGUGCCAUCCUGCCUUGAAAGGGUCAUGGACCAGAACUGCUCCAAUGGCACUCCUAGUCCCUCCUGCACCAGCCCCAUGAUUUAUAUCCCCAGGAUCUUUAGGGGCUGCCAGUGCCCUAGGACAUGGGGGAGGGGAACUCAAGGGGAAUCUGUAAGCCCUUUGGAGGCAGAAGUCUCCCAUUCCUGAGCCCCCUGUUCCGGUUUCCAGUUCUUCCACUUCCCUGUUG